CCCUCUCUCUCUCUCUCUCUGUUAUUUGGGAUUUCUGCCUAAUUGCUUGCCAUUUUUAAAUGUUUGCGGUCUGCAGGAACAGACAGUGACGGACGUCAUCGGAUUGACCUUUAAUCGGAGAAGAUUGCCGAGAUCCUGGCCAAGACCAGACCCUCCGUCCUCCUCACGCUGCGAGGCUUGAACACCGACAGUGGCAGU